rnacentral:tRNA from 1 species
GCCCCCUUAGCUUAAUGGAUAGAGUGAUGGUUUCCGGAACCAUAGAUGAGCGUCCGAUUCGCUCAGGGGGCA